UGGGGCCUCUUUCCAGAACACUUCACACACCAGAGAUCCAUGGAUAUUUGAUUCUGUAUUUUGGUGCCUGCUAAGAAAUGGCUAUACAUUAUUUUCACGUGUGUCACAACAGGAUGGAGAGAUCUUCAAGUCUCAUGGCUGUCUCAGCACAUUUAUAACAUGGGAUUUUUAUAGGAGUCACCUCCAGGAAGGCAUGAUGAGCAGGAGCCUGUUGGACCUAGGAACUUGCAUCCUCUGAGCAGCUGCUCCUAAGCUUUGCUUCAGUGAGAGGAGAAAAUCACUGCAAGGCUUCCUUGAUUUCUCA
rnacentral:lncRNA from 1 species